CUUUCUUUCUUUCUUUCUUUCUUUCUUUCUUUCUUUCUUUUUCUUUCUUUUUCUUUCUUUCUUUUCCUUCCUUCUUUUCCUGUCUGUCUUUCUGUCUUUCCUUCCUUCCUUCUUUCCUUUUUUUUUCUCUUAUCAUUUCCAUUUUCCAUCAGCAUUUUUCUGUGAUUACUACUUCCAUGGAAAACAGAUAUUUUUCUAAAUUAAUCUAAGGAAAACAUAAAAUAUCAUAUGCCAUGAAGACUAUAAUUCAAGGGCUUCCAAGAGAACUCAGAAGAUCAAAUUGCCAGGACAAAGUUUUUAAGCUGGUCGUGCCGUGAAGCUUAGCUGAAAGUUUUGUAGAACGUCUGACCAGGCUGGAUCAAGAUAUUUGUAGAAUGAAGUAAGCUCAUAGUAACUCCCACUGAUGAACGUCCUGUUGAGAACAUUUCCCCAAAGCCUACAAUUUUUCUUCCUUCAAUUGCUGAAAGAAAACUCCAUAAGACUGGAACAUAUCUUUGUCUUCUUGAGGACUUUUUCCCUGGUGUUAUCGAGAUAUAUUGGAAAGAAAAGAAUGGCAAAACAAUUCUGGAAUCCCAGCAGGGAAACACCAUGAAAACUAAGGACAAAUAUAUGAAAUACACCUGGCUGACCGUGAGUGAAGAGUCAAUGGGUAAAGAACACAAAUGUGUUGUCAAACAUGAUAGUAAUAAAGGAGGGGUUGAUCAAGAGAUUCUUUUUCCUUCAAUAGACAAAGAUUUGGUGUCGGUGAUGGGAUCUGAAAUGGACUUCCAGGGGCGAUCAGAGACAAGGAGACAGCCAGGGGAGGUAACUGUGAGCCCCUUGAGUUCACUGUCCUCCUCAUCAUUUUUAAGGGCUGUAGAUCUCACUGCUAUUCACUCUACAGAAGCUUCUCUGAAGGAUGAAAAUGACGCCCUGCAUCUGCAUCUCGUGAACAACUCUGCCUACUAUACCUACCU